rnacentral:tRNA from 1 species
UCAGCUUUGGCGCAGUAGGUAGCGCGUCAGUCUCCCAAGCUGAAGAUCCUGAA